CCUACGGGUGGCAGCAGUGGGGAAUAUUGGACAAUGGGGGGAACCCUGAUCCAGCCAUGCCGCGUGUGUGAAGAAGGCCCUCGGGUUGUGAAGCACUUUCAGUGAGGAAGAACGCCUGGUGGUUAAUACCCAUCAGGAAAGACAUCACUCACAGAAGAAGCACCGGCUAACUCCGUGCCAGCAGCCGCGGUAAUACGGAGGGUGCGAGCGUUAAUCGGAAUUACUGGGCGUAAAGCGCGCGUAGGUGGCUUGAUAAGCCGGUUGUGAAAGCCCCGGGCUCAACCUGGGAACGGCAUCCGGAACUGUCAAGCUAGAGUGCAGGAGAGGAAGGUAGAAUUCCCGGUGUAGCGGUGAAAUGCGUAGAGAUCGGGAGGAAUACCAGUGGCGAAGGCGGCCUUCUGGACUGACACUGACACUGAGGUGCGAAAGCGUGGGUAGCAAACAGGAUUAGAUACCCUUGUAGUC
rnacentral:rRNA from 1 species